rnacentral:rRNA from 1 species
GAUGAACGCUGGCGGCGUGCCUAAUACAUGCAAGUCGAGCGAACAGAUGAGGAGCUUGCUCCUCUGACGUUAGCGGCGGACGGGUGAGUAACACGUGGAUAACCUACCUAUAAGACUGGGAUAACUUCGGGAAACCGGAGCUAAUACCGGAUAAUAUAUUUAACCGCAUGGUUCAAUAGUGAAAGACGGUUUUGCUGUCACUUAUAGAUGGAUCCGCGCCGCAUUAGCUAGUUGGUAAGGUAACGGCUUACCAAGGCAACGAUGCGUAGCCGACCUGAGAGGGUGAUCGGCCACACUGGAACUGAGACACGGUCCAGACUCCGACGGGAGGCAGCAGUAGGGAAUCUUCCGCAAUGGGCGAAAGCCUGACGGAGCAACGCCGCGUGAGUGAUGAAGGUCUUCGGAUCGUAAAACUCUGUUAUUAGGGAAGAACAAAUGUGUAAGUAACUAUGCACGUCUUGACGGUACCUAAUCAGAAAGCCACGGCUAACUACGUG